AGAUAAUCAGCAUUCAGAGAAGACACACUAGGCCCUCCCCAGGGUUCUCUCUGAGGAGAACUGAGAACUGGUGGCUCUAUAUGAGUAGCUGUAGGUGUUUAUCUAGUCUUCUUCAACAGUCUGAAGAGGAUCUAGCUUCAUUCAAAGCUUGGUGUGCUGUUCCUGAAUAAUUAAUGCCCAUGCUAUUUGAAUUUAAUUUGAAGCCAUUAUAUUGUGCUGGUGACAAAACAUUGAACAAGAUUAGUAUCCUGGACCUCCCUGAGUUUACCAUGCUUUGGCAAAUGGAUAUGAGGAUACUUGUUGCUCUUUUUCUCCAUCCAGGCCAGAGCUGAAUGCCAACUUCAGCUCUGUAUCCAUUUGCCUUUUCAUGUUACAUUAUGUGAGAAAGGAAGUGUACAACCUAACCUUGUCUUAAACCUCUUCAGGAUCAUCUCUGCAUCCUUGAGGAUAAAAACAACAAAAGAGUAGGAAUGAAAACAACCACUUUACUCGGAAAUUUGUUACUGAACACACAUUUUCUAUUAGGCCUCUUCUAGGCUUUGUAAAGAUCUUUAUAAAGAUUCUGUUUUGUCCUUAA